CCUACGGGGGGCAGCAGUGGGGAAUAUUGCACAAUGGGGGAAACCCUGAUGCAGCGACGCCGCGUGAGUGAAGAAGUAUUUCGGUACGUAAAGCUCUAUCAGCAGGGAAGAAAAUGACGGUACCUGACUAAGAAGCCCCGGCUAACUACGUGCCAGCAGCCGCGGUAAUACGUAGGGGGCAAGCGUUAUCCGGAUUUACUGGGUGUAAAGGGAGCGUAGACGGCAGCGCAAGUCUGGAGUGAAAUCCCAUGGCUUAACCAUGGAACUGCUUUGGAAACUGUGCAGCUAGAGUGCAGGAGAGGUAAGCGGAAUUCCUAGUGUAGCGGUGAAAUGCGUAGAUAGUAGGAGGAACACCAGUGGCGAAGGCGGCUUACUGGACUGUAACUGACGUUGAGGCUCGAAAGCGUGGGGAGCAAACAGGAUUAGAUACCCGAGUAGUC
rnacentral:rRNA from 1 species